GAAAUUAUAAAAUACUAAGCCCAUCAAAAUUCUAUAAGGGGCAAAACCAAAAGGCCCGUAAACAUAAAUAGCGAAGGCUAAACCAAUCAUCUACCAACCACGUGCGUCGACGUUCAAUUCCAGCGGUGUCAACAAUUCCACGUGGCCAAAUAUGAGUCAUCCAGCUCAAAAAAUUCGGGUUUGCCGCGCUGCAAGUCAAACGGGGAAUGUGAAGUCUAGCUUCGGAUUUUGUCAGUUCACGAACCCGAGGCUCGAAUACUCCGAACCAAAGUCAGGUCCCAGAAACCUCAAUUCCGAAUCUGAAUAAUUUUAUCGCUCAUCUGUCGGAGAUGAGCUUAGGACAUGUUUGCUCCAUAACACCGUGUCUCACUACUCACUAUUCCAUAUAAGACAACAAUAAAUCCAAAUUAAGCCCUAAAUUUACGCCCUCCGUUAUUCCUCUUAUUUCCACUUCCAGCCGUCUAUCUCAUCGGUGGCCAAAUCACCGCUAUCUACAGAUGUUGAUAAGGUUGCUGUGAAGAGCUGAAACUGCUGCGAUUUUCAGUUUGAUUUGCCUUUUUAAGCUUCUUUUGCAGGAGUUUUGAGUUUCUGUUUGUCUUUAUUGAUUUUAAAUUCUUUCUCUUUCAUGAGUGUUAUGUUUUUGGUGUUUCUUUUAGGGAAAUUAUUUUUUUCCGAGAAAAUUUUGUUUGCUUGGAAUCUGCAGUGUGAAUUUUGAAUUUUUCUUUUAAGCAGACCCGUUGAUUAUGGCAUGUUUCUCUCUCUAAAAGCUAAUGUAUUUCUCUCCCUGUACGUUUCUCAUUUAUUUAUUGGUUGAAAAUGACAGACCCUUUACGUGUCUGAGUCUCUCUCUCUCCCUAAUGCGUGAGGUUGAGGGAAGGCGCGUUAUGUGCCAUACUACAUAAAAUAAUUGUAGGUUCUUCCUCGGAUUAAAUUUUCCCUGGAAAAUUAAAUUUCGCAUGACAUGGAUUGCUUAAAAAUUGACUUGGAUUUCGAAUCCCUCAAUUUUCAACUCGGCAAGACCCUCCUCCAUAUGAUAUCAAAGACCAUAGCUUUCACCGCAAGCACUGAGUAGACAAAAGGGCUUCCAUUUCUGAGGAUUGGUUCAUUGUAUGAAUCUGUGUUAGAUCUUCAAAGACUGCUUAUAGUACCAGUUGAUUAAACUUAUCAAGCUCUGAUGUCAGUUCUGGAAAAACCAUCUUCAAGUUCAUCAAUUUCUUCUUCACCGUCGGUUUCAGUUGGGGAGAUUGAUCCAUUGUUGAAGGAUUUGAAUGAGAAGAAACAGAGUUUUAGACGGAACGUGGUUUCGUUAGCUGCAGAGUUAAAGGAAGUUAGGAGCCGCCUUGCAUCUCAAGAGCAUUCAUUUGUUAGAGAGACACUAACAAGACAGGAAGCAGAAAAUAAGGCAAAAGCCAUGGAAGAAGAGAUUCGUUCAUUGCAGAAGCGAUUGGAGGAUAGGAAUGGCCAGCUUCAGGCUUCAGCUACUACUGCUGAGAAGGUCCCACUCACAUCUCAUCUCAUAAACUUUUCUUUUUGGUUGCCUUUUUGGAUUUCGUGAUUUAAAUCAUGCUUUUGAUUAUAAUUUGAAAUUCAAAGAUGCUUCAAUGGAGUUGUUUCCCAUAAAGGCACGGUUGAUCCGGUUUGUAAUGUUGUUUUUUGUGCAUCUCAUCACAUGAUCUACAUAUCUCAUUGUUUGUGAUGCCUCCAAUCUUUUGGCUUUUAUUCUUUGUAUUUUUUGGCGGAGCCCAUAGGAGAAAAGGUUACCUGAGGGUUUUAAUUUUUAAAUUUAUUUUUUUAGUAUCAUUGUUUCCCUUUAUUUGUUUUCUUCAAUGAUUCAAGAAAGUCUUGUCCUUUCACAUAAAGACGAACCCAUCUUUAAAUAAAAUUGUGUUUGAUGGCUUUAAUUAAAUGUGGCUGCAAGGAUUCAUAUCCAUUCUCUUAUAACUCUGCUUCUGUUUUAAGAAAAGUGCGUGAUUUCCACUUUGGAGCUGCCACUUUUCAUUGUUCGUGUAGAUUGUCUCUGGUUAUUGGAAAUAUAAUUGGAUAGUAAUCAAUUUUUCUUGUUCUCAAAAUUGACAUGAGAUAUCAUGCACUUUUGGAAUCAUUAAAUUAUGUUCAUCCUUGAAUUAUUGGAAGUAUAGUUGGACAUUAACUUUUCUUGUUUAUGGAACUGAUGCAUCCUAUUGCAUGAUUGAAGUUAGUUUCCCGCUAAUAAAUAUGAACCAAUUAUUUUGGUGACCAUGAUUCCAUAUUAAGAUAGUUGAAUGAAUAUGAAUAUUGACAGUGACUUAAUAUCAAAUAUUAUGGCAUCAACUUUCUGACCUUUAGAUCCAACUCCAUUUCUCCCAAAACUAAUAAUUUGGCACAUUCUCCCUGAGAAACUAAACUUUCUCUUGGGUGAAAGCAAAUCUUAGAGAACCAAUAAUAAAAGAAAUAAAUAGUUAGCAUUUUUAUGAAAUGACCUUAAUUAAAUUGAUUUGAAUUUUUGCCUUUGAACCCUAGUAUUUCUUCAUGAGGGCAGUUCUUCCAUUACUGCAUUUAUGCUUUGUUGUAAGAGCAAAUGCCUUUAAGUGGGAGUUUCAUUUCUCCUUGCAUAUUCAGCGACUCUAUUUAAAAGGGCAAGUGGAAUUUAAAGGUAGGGCAUCGAAUGAAAUGCAUGGAGGAUAAUGCGGAAGUGAAAGAUAUUGAUUGCUGUGAAUGGAAUAAAUGUACACCACAUAGCUUUUUAAGCAUGCUUUCUAUAAUCAAAUAUGUGUAUAGUAUCAUAUUUAUAUGGCAUUCACCAUAUAUUAUUCUUGAGGGGUCUAUUUCAAUAGAGAAUUUUACUGGCAAGAAGUUACACAAUUUUGUGUUCUCAGGGUAACUAACAUGUCCUACCUGCAGUUCUUACUAUUUCUCCUGCAUACUAAGAAAAAAAGAGUGUAUAGAAUUGACAAGUUGAUGAGGAAUUGAAAGAAGUAGAAGUGUAAGUCAAGGUGUUGAUACUUGUUAUUUUGUGCUUCUUGCCCUCCAAGGGCCUCUAUUCAUAAGGUUCUUGCUUAAGAAUAUACCUGUAUUGCAAUUGCAAUAUACCCAUUUUUAGAUUACUCAUGUUAUAACUUUUCAUUUGCGAGUUUCUCACUGUCCGUCACUUGGGUUAUUCUAAUUCAAUUUCUUUAAUGGGAACAGUACCUUAAGGAGCUGGAUUUUCUUAGAUCACAGCUUGCAGCCACUCAAGCAACUGCAGACGCAAGCGCUGCAUCAGCUCAAUCAGCUCAGCUUCAGUGUUUAGCACUGAGAAAAGAAUUAGAUAUGAAGAAUAGUUCAUUAAAAGAGCAUGAGGAUCAUGUGAUGAGGCUAGGAGAGCAAUUAGACAAUUUACAAAAGGAUCUAGAGGCAAGGGAAUCUUCCCAAAAACAACUGAAAGAUGAAGUUCUUAGAAUUGAGCAAGACAUUAUGCAAUCUAUUGCCAAGGCUGGAGCUGGCACAGAUUGUGAACUUAGGAAAUUGCUAGAUGAGAUAUCGCCAAAAAAUUUUGAGAAGAUCAAUAAACUUUUGGUUGUUAAAGAUGAAGAAAUAUCUAAACUGAAAGAUGAAAUAAGAAUCAUGUCUGCCCACUGGAAGCUCAAAACCAAGGAAUUUGAAACACAGGUACUUCCAUCUUCCUACCUUUAUAACCUCCUCGUUUAGCUCGUAUCUUCAUUUUAGUGUGCUCUUUUCUUUAAGGUGCAUGGACCUGCAUAUUUAUGAGAUUUAACCUGUUCAUUGACAGUUGGAAAAGCAGCGACGAGCUGAUCAGGAGCUGAAAAAGAGGGUGCUGAAGUUGGAAUUCUGUCUUCAGGAAGCUCGUGCUCAGACACGAAAGCUGCAGAGGGUAAGUUUUUUGACGUCUUCACUCUUCUUCUAAGGACAGAAUAAAUACAUUGAUUACCACGGAUAAGAUUUCCACCCACACACUAUUUUACAUACAAUAAGAGCAUCAUACAUGCCAAUGUGCAGAUGCCUGCCCCACAAUUAGCUAUAAUUUUUUUGGUGGACCACAUCCUUGUGGUGUGCAAAGGGACGCAUUUUGAUUCACUGAGACGGUGUGGUUGUAAUCAAUUGAAUGGUCCACAUUAUUAUGCUGUCUGCUGGUGGCUCAUGGAAUGCUGUGACAUUCUAGUUGAUCUCUCUUAAUGCUAGUUUUGUGGGGGUGGUGUUCCUUAAACUAUUCAAAGGUGAUUUUUCUUAGAUCUCUGUUUCUUGCAACAGAUGGGAGAGCGAAGGGACAAAGCUCUGAAAGAACUGAGAGAACAGUUGGCCACAAAACAACAGUCUGUAGCUGCGGUUAAUAAUGAAAAGCAAAAUUUCUUUGAAUCUUCUGGCUUCAAGAUUGUAGUUUCCAUGUCAAUUUUGAUCCUGGUAGUAUUUUCAAAGCGAUGAAAUGAUUGUCCGAUCCUUAUGUAUAAAUGUCUUGAUAGUUUAGGGGAGUUGUAGAGGUCAUUUUGCUUAUAGAAAUGCACAGUAGAUAUUCUAUUUUGUAUGUAGCCGUUGUCAGAAGUGCCUUUUUUUUUGUGCUCUUGUUACUAGAAUCCUCAAAUGUUUUGAAUUGUGCUGGCAAUUCGGCUACAAUAUUUUAGAAUAUUAGAAAAUUAGAGGGUCAAAGUGCAAAAAGAAACCUUGGAGUAGAGUAUAUAAAUUAUAGGAUCUUCAGUGUUGAUGGUUUCAUUAGCUGCAUGACGCAAUGUAAUGAUAGAAAUGAACCAUUUCUCCUGUAUUCUUAAUGUUACUUGUGAACCUAGUCAAGGACAAUAAUGUGCAGUAGUUUUCUAAUACAGGUUUGCUAUUGCUGAGUCAUCAUUGCUCAAAUGUUUGGUGUAACGGUGCAUGAUUUAGUUUCAAUGAUUUCCUGGUACAAUUGGCAUCCAAUGUUCAAGCGUUAAUGUUACC
rnacentral:misc_RNA from 1 species